GGAGAGAUGGCUCAGAGGUUAAGAGCACUGGCUGCUCUUCCAGAGGACCUGGGUUCAACUCCCAGCACCC
rnacentral:tRNA from 1 species